rnacentral:misc_RNA from 1 species
UUUCUCUUUCUUCUUUGUCUUGCUCACUUUGUUAUUAGACUUUUGCUUGCCAUCCUGGGAUUCUUUUUGGUGGUGGUGGUGGUGUUGCUGCUGCUGCUUUUCUUUGGUCUUGGCUGAGCCUUGUUGGGUUGCUGUAUCAUUAGAUGAAGAAGAUAUUGAUGAAUCUGGGGUAGAUGGGUUUUCAUUAUUGGUGGGUGCUGAUGAUUUUCCCGAUGGUGCACCUGAACAGUGUUGGAUGGGACUGCUAAUAACCUCAGAAGAAGAGCAAGGCAUAUCAAAGGCUGUGGAUAAGGUGUUAUAGUCCAUGGAUAAGCACUCAGUGAAGCUCAUGUAAGAGGGACCAGAGCGUUGUAAGGUUUGCAUCAGUGUUGGUUGAUUAUUGUACAUCGUAGAUGGGUGGUUAUCGUUCAAGAAUGGGAACUCUGACCCCCGGAUAAUCCCUCUCUGCUCAUUAUAGUAAAAAGGAUCAUUUUGGGAUGGAUUUUCC